rnacentral:sRNA from 1 species
AGCCGCCGAACCUUGUUGGAGGUUCUGGGGCGCAGAACCGCUACUGCUGCUUCGGUGUCUCCUUGGGAAAAAAUAAAAUUUGAACCUUUUGGAGCUGUGUGCUAAAUCUUCAGUGGGACAAUGGGUUCAGACAAAAGAGUGAGUAGAACAGAGCGUAGUGGAAGAUACGGUUCCAUCAUAGACAGGGAUGACCGUGAUGAGCGAGAAUCCCGAAGCAGGCGGAGGGACUCAGAUUACAAAAGAUCUAGUGAUGAUCGGAGGGGUGAUAGAUAUGACGACUACCGAGACUAUGACAGUCCAGAGAGAGAGCGUGAAAGAAGGAACAGUGACCGAUCUGAAGAUGGCUACCAUUCAGAUGGUGACUAUGGUGAGCACGACUAUAGGCAUGACAUCAGUGACGAGAGGGAGAGCAAGACCAUCAUGCUGCGCGGCCUUCCCAUCACCAUCACAGAGAGCGAUAUUCGAGAAAUGAUGGAGUCCUUCGAAGGCCCUCAGCCUGCGGAUGUGAGGCUGAUGAAGAGGAAAACAGGUGUAAGCCGUGGUUUCGCCUUCGUGGAGUUUUAUCACUUGCAAGAUGCUACCAGCUGGAUGGAAGCCAAUCAGGUUGCUUCACUCACCAAGUCUAGAUAUUCAUGAAAAUGGAACAAGUCUGUACAAUUAAAAAAAAAAGGUUGAAGGAGUGGUUUGUUCCAAAGGAGUGACUUUUUUUUAAAAAAAAGCUUUGUAUAUAUUAAAAUUGAUGUUACUAGAGUAAGUACAGUACCAAGGACUUCAUUGUAGAAUUUGUUCUGCCUUUAAACAUGGCUACCUACCUGGCAGGGCUUUGUUAACUACUGAAUACCUGUCUGGUAAUCACUUAAUGUUUCCCUUUUUUCUACUUUGUUAUGUUCCUAUUAUGUCCAUUGAGAGUAAGCUUAGUAUAUCAAACUCUCCAUUUGACAGUGAAGAAAACAUAGUGAAAGUCUGUGGCAGGCAUUUUUAUAAGUAAUUCCUUAUUUCUGCUUGAAGACCACAAAGCCUCCUGGAGGCAUAACUGCUCAGACGGGUCUUCAGGGAAUAUUUAAGGACUUAGUGGAAUUUAUGAACAAUAAGUCUGAUGAGAUUAGCCUGGGAGUGGUGUCCUGCUGCUGUCUAAUCUAGUUAGAGUGGCAUUAACAUUCUAAUCUCCCUGAGAAUGCCUUUUAUAGUCUGUUCAAAGCAAGUCAUUGAUGGUUCUUCGAGGUAGUGUUAACUGAAGUGUUCUUCAGUUUGUCAAGAUAAUGUUCAGUGCUUGGCACUUAAAUAACAUUUUUUGCAAGAACUCCAAGGCACAUUAUUGAAUGCCUUUAACCAAGUGCAUUCUGGGAAGUUUGCUUGACUCAUUAUCUUGCUUUUCUGCAGCAUUCUGUGAUUUGAGUCAUCCAUGAAUCCAUAAAUAAAAGUUACAUUCUUUGAUUGGUAAUAUUGCCAUUUAUAACAAGACUCACUAAUGAGGCUAUCACUUUGACUGACUGAUUUGUUAAAGUUUUUAAGCCUCUCAUUUUCCUAACCCAGAAAUCACAGCCUGAUUUUAUUAAAAGUAGAGCUUCAUUCAUUUCAUACCAUAGAUACCAUCCUAGUAAAUCCAGAACAUAUACAAGGUUCAUGUGAGUCUGCUUUCUUGACAUGAUAGCAUUGUGGACAUGUCAGAAUGACUAACCUAGGAGUUUAAAACUCCUAAGAAACUAAAACCUGUAAGACAUUUAAAAGUCUCCACAAUUUUAAUGUAUACAAAGCUAUGUUACUGUGUAACACAUUACAGUUCAAAUUCACUCCAGAAAUAAAAGGCCAGUAGGAUUAGGGACUCACUGGUAGUUUGGAGUCUCCCAGCACACAUCCCUGCUAGUGGGAUGAUCUAUUGACAUAUCUCCCAGCUUUUUUAUUUUUGCUUCUAUAUAUCACAGUGAGUGGAUGACCCUUCAGCUUUUUCUCUCCUGGCCAGACAUGCAGUCUUGCCUUUAGAUAUCGCAGAGACAAAAUUCACAGCAUGUCUUAAAUCUUCCAGGAUUUGCAAGAACCAAAUUGCUCAACAGUAUGUAUGUUUAGAGGGGUUAGACUCCUUUUUAAAAUCUGGAUAUCUAACCACCUACUUAAAUCUGUUCUGAUAGUGUCAAACCACCCCCACCCUCAAUCCCCCCACCCCCAAGAAAAAGAAAAGAUGCUCCUGUUAAAUGAAGGCUCUUUAGGGGUAGGUGCUAGGUAUACUCUUGGCUAGAUUGAUUCAGCUCAGAAUUUUGACUUCUUAAAGUUAAGUCCUUGUAGUCACAUGGUUGACUUGAAGGAUGAGGUGGUGUGUGCAUUUAUGAGCUUUUCCUACCCCCCUGAAGAAACUUCAUUGGCCUCCUGGUUACUCACCUUGAAGAGAGUACCAUCCAUUUUAGUGAAAAACACAUCUGUCACCUAGGACAUGACGUGGUCGCAGUUGACAGGAAAAAAAAAAAUCUCAUUUAGUUGUUUUAGAGUUGGUGGCAUUCAGAAUAGUCCCUCCUGAGAAAGAAUUGUAACCAGAUUCCCUUUAAAAAUGAGUUCCCCUCCCUUUCCCCCCAAAGGACACAUCCUGAAGCAGAAGGUGGGGGGGGAAGGAGAAAUGUAAAGGCUUUUACUUUGCAUAAGGAUGGGGGACUGGGGAAAAAGGUGAAGCGAAGCCCAAGGACACCAUGCUAAGGGCAAAAGUAGGAGACAAUCUCAGAACUGAGAGAAUUGUGUCUUCUGCUUUUUGAAGUAGACUGUCACACUCAGGCAGCCUGUCAAUGCUGAAUGUUAGGACUUCUGUCUCCACUGGAGACACGGCCUGGUGCAAGUCAGCGUUUAGUGUUUGACAGCUUUCUCAGCACUCCCUGACUCCGUUUACCUUUACUCCGCAUCCCAUUCUCUUACUGCCUAUCUGAAGGAUUGGAUGGGCAGAGUAUAGGUGGCGGUGGUUGGUCCUCCCCGUAUGUUGUCCAUUUAAUUCCAGAGCACUGAUUUUUCCGAAGUGUGCUCUGCCCUGGGAAAAUGGACACAUGUUCCUCACAAUGGGAAUAACUAAUUACUUCUUUUCUUACAGAAAAAGUUGGUGAUUCAAGGAAAGCACAUUGCAAUGCAUUAUAGCAAUCCCAGACCUAAGUUUGAAGAUUGGCUUUGUAACAAGUGCUGCCUUAACAAUUUCAGGAAAAGACUAAAAUGCUUCCGAUGUGGAGCAGACAAGUUUGACUCUGAACAGGAAGUGCCUCCUGGAACCACAGAGUCGGUUCAGUCUGUGGAUUACUACUGUGAUACGAUCAUUCUUCGGAACAUAGCUCCGCACACUGUGGUGGAUUCCAUCAUGACAGCACUGUCUCCUUACGCGUCUUUAGCAGUCAAUAACAUCCGCCUCAUAAAAGACAAACAGACCCAGCAGAACAGAGGCUUCGCAUUUGUGCAGCUGUCUUCUGCAAUGGAUGCUUCUCAGCUGCUUCAGAUAUUACAGAGUCUCCAUCCUCCUUUGAAAAUUGAUGGCAAAACUAUUGGGGUUGAUUUUGCCAAAAGUGCCAGAAAUGAUUAUUCCCUACUGUCCUGUAUAACCAGUUGAUGAAGUUGCCUGAAAUGGUUUCAGAUCAGGAGAAAGAGACUUGGUCCUCUCGGAUGGUAACCGCGUCAGCGCCUUCUCUGUAGCUAGUACAGCUAUUGCUGCUGCUCAGUGGUCAUCCACCCAGUCUCAAAGUGGUGAAGGAGGCAGUGUUGACUACAGUUAUCUGCAGCCGGGUCAAGAUGGCUAUGCCCAAUAUGCUCAGUAUUCACAGGAUUAUCAGCAGUUUUAUCAACAACAAGCUGGAGGAUUGGAAUCUGAUGCAUCAUCUGCAUCAGGCACAGCAGUGACCACCACCUCAGCGGCUGUGGUGUCCCAGAGUCCUCAGCUGUAUAAUCAAACCUCCAAUCCACCUGGCUCUCCGACUGAGGAAGCACAGCCUAGCACUAGCACAAGUACACAGGCCCCAGCCGCUUCCCCUACUGGUGUAGUUCCUGGUACCAAAUAUGCAGUACCUGACACGUCCACUUACCAGUAUGAUGAAUCUUCAGGAUAUUACUAUGAUCCGACGACAGGGCUCUAUUAUGACCCCAACUCGCAAUACUACUAUAAUUCCUUAACCCAGCAGUACCUUUACUGGGAUGGGGAAAAAGAGACCUACGUGCCAGCUGCAGAGUCUAGCUCCCACCAGCAGACGGGCCUGCCUCCUGUAAAAGAGGGGAAAGAGAAGAAGGAGAAACCCAAGAGCAAAACAGCCCAGCAGAUCGCCAAAGACAUGGAACGCUGGGCUAAAAGUUUGAAUAAGCAGAAAGAAAACUUUAAAAAUAGCUUUCAGCCUGUCAAUUCCUUGAGGGAAGAAGAAAGGAGAGAAUCUGCUGCAGCAGACGCUGGCUUUGCUCUCUUUGAGAAGAAGGUAAUAGCAGGAAUGGCCAGUACGUCAUGAUGGGAACUUACCUAAAACUUGAGUCUCAUGGCUUGUCCUCUGUUUCCCAGGGAGCCUUAGCUGAAAGGCAGCAGCUCAUCCCAGAAUUGGUGCGAAAUGGAGAUGAGGAGAAUCCCCUCAAAAGGGGUCUGGUUGCUGCUUACAGUGGUGACAGUGACAAUGAGGAGGAGCUGGUGGAGAGACUUGAGAGUGAGGAAGAAAAGCUAGCUGACUGGAAGAAGAUGGCCUGUCUGCUCUGCCGGCGUCAGUUCCCGAACAAAGAUGCCCUAGUCAGGCACCAGCAACUCUCAGACCUUCACAAGCAAAACAUGGACAUCUACCGACGAUCCAGGCUGAGCGAGCAGGAGCUGGAAGCCUUGGAGCUAAGGGAGAGAGAGAUGAAAUACCGAGACCGAGCUGCAGAAAGACGGGAGAAGUACGGCAUUCCAGAACCUCCAGAGCCCAAGCGCAAGAAGCAGUUUGAUGCCGGCACUGUGUAUGUGAUGCGCACAUUUUCCAGUUCGUAAGCUGGGGCCCUGGCUGUUUUAAGUAACUGUGUGUUUGCCACUGGCAGGAAUUACGAGCAACCCACCAAAGAUGGCAUUGACCACAGUAACAUUGGCAACAAGAUGCUGCAGGCCAUGGGCUGGCGGGAAGGCUCUGGCUUGGGACGAAAGUGUCAAGGCAUUACGGCUCCCAUUGAGGCUCAAGUUCGGCUAAAGGGAGCUGGCCUAGGAGCCAAAGGCAGCGCAUAUGGUUUGUCGGGCGCCGAUUCCUACAAAGAUGCUGUCCGGAAAGCCAUGUUUGCCCGGUUCACUGAGAUGGAGUGAGAGAGAGAGAGAGAGAGAGAGAGAGAGAGAUGACAAGGAGCACAAGAAGUGGUCCAUCUCCUGAAUUCGCUCUUACCGCCUGUCUCUUUAAGGGCAUGCCUUGUGCUGUUAAUAGAUCUUAGGGUGAACCACGUCAUUCUACAGGGUUCUCCCUCCCACCUUAAAGAAGUUCCCCUUAUGUGGGUUGUCUGGUGAAUGGCCUUCCUUCCCGCCAGAGGGCUUGUGAACAGACCGGAGAGGACAGUGGGUUUUUUAUACUCCAGUGUACAUAGUGUAAUGUAGCGUGUUUACAUGUGUAGCCUAUGCUGUGGUCCAUCAGCCCCUCACAUUCCUAGGGGUUUGAGAUGCUGUAGGUGGUAUGUGACACCAAAGCCACCUCUCAUUUGUUGUGAUGUCUUUUCUUGGCAAAAGCCUUGUGUAUAUUUGUAUAUUACACAUUUGUACAGAAUUUUGGAAGAUUUUCAGUCUAGUUGCCAAAUCUGGCUCCUUUACAAAAAUACCUUGAG